AGAGGUCCCAAGCGUUGUUCGGAUUCACUGGGCGUAAAGGGAGCGUAGGCGGUCGGGUAAGUCUGACGUGAAAUCUUCAAGCUCAACUUGGAAACUGCGUCGGAUACUAUUCGGCUAGAGGAAUGGAGGGGAGACUGGAAUACUUGGUGUAGCAGUGAAAUGCGUAGAUAUCAAGUGGAACACCAGUGGCGAAGGCGAGUCUCUGGACAUUUCCUGACGCUGAGGCACGAAAGCCAGGGGAGCAAACGGGAUUAGAUACCCCGGUAGUCCUGGCCCUAAACGGUGCACGUUUGCUGUAAGAGGAAUCGACCCCUUUUGUGGCGAAGCUAACGCGUUAAACGUGCCGCCUGGGAAGUACGGCCCCAAGGUUA
rnacentral:rRNA from 1 species